AUAAAUUUUUUUGGGGAAAAAAUUGAGCAGGGAGUCAUUUUUUCAUUUUCAUCUGCGUUUUAUUCCGAAAUUGCUACUUAACCUCAAAAUCAUUCAAUUUUGACGUUUCCUACCUGUGCUUUAAGUUGCUCAUGCGCAUAUUUACCAAACAUAUUACUCAUCCAAUUUGAAUGUUACUUUUCGCACUUUAUUGUUGACGAAUAAACAAAAUUCCGUUCUAAAAUUGUUAUAAAAUUUUUAGUGUUGAUGUCCGCAUACAUUUUCAAUGAUUUCUAGACGUGAAAGAAUAGAAACGAUCGAAAGGUGCAUAAUGUGGAUUAAUAAACAGAAUGAGCUCUCUUCACAGACAAGUCUGAACAUGAAUGAGGUAGGUUAUCCACAGUUUAUGUAUGACAGGUAUCUAGGAAUCUAGGUAUAUUGCAUGGUAGACUUGUGACUUUUGUGUGUACCUAACUGUAUUCAUUUAUUUAUUCGCACUGUUUAUUUGAAAAUUGCUUUUUUAAUAAGUAUGUGUAAACACUAAUGAUUAAAUAAGUAAAUAA